rnacentral:rRNA from 1 species
UACGUAGGGGCAAGCGUUAUCCGGAUUUACUGGGUGUAAAGGGAGCGCAGACGGAACUGCAAGUCUGAUGUGAAAGCCCGGGGCUCAACCGCGGGACUGCAUCGGAUACUGUGGAUCUGGAGUGCCGGAGGGGCAAGCGGAAUUCCUGGUGUAGCGGUGAAAUGCGUAGAUAUCAGGAGGAACACCGGCGGCGAAGGCGGCUUGCUGGACGGCAACUGACGUUGAGGCUCGAAAGCGUGGGGAGCAAACAGGAUUAGAUACCCCGGUA